UAAUUAAUUCGACUUCAUUAAUUAUUGAUUAAAGAACUCUAUAUUUAUACUGUUUUUAUUAGUAUUGAAUGCUCACCAAAUUGUGGUGGUAACUACUGGAAAAAAAAAUCCCACCUUUUACCAGUGGUAACUACUGGGAUUUUUUUCCCAGUAGUUACCAGUGGUAAAAGGUGGGAAAAAAUUCCCAGUAGUUAUCACUGGUAACAGCUUGGUGGUAACUAGUGGGAAUAACCCGAUUUCGCACGCACUCAUACACACUUUAGAUUUGAGUCAUACAUUCUCGAUUUAUUAAUGUGUGCGUGUCGUGUAUGUAUUGAUUGUAUUUAUUUGCAAAGAAUAAGUAGUAAGUAAAUAUUCUUUAUUGCACCAACAAUUAUACAUUUUACAUACAUGUAAAACUACAAAUGAUUUUUAAAGGAAAAUAGAACCAGGUAACAACAGGCGGUCUUAUCGCUAAAAAGCGAUCUCUUCCAGACAACCUUUAGGUAGCAGGAAAUUUCGAACUCAUACAAAAGUCAACAGGUAGUGCAAGGAGCUAAAUAUGGAGACUAUUAAAUACAAACACACAUACUACUUAUAUAAGUAUUAAAACAAUACCUAAUAUACUAAUAAAUAUACAAUAUAAUAUAAUACAAUAUAUAUAUAUAUAUAUAUAUAUAUAUAUAUAUAUAUAUUUAUACUUACACAUAUACAAUAUAUAAAUGGCAACUUAAGGUAGAGAUAGAAAGUAUAGUUUCAGCUGAUUUUUGAAAAUGGGGAGAGAUUUAGCUAAUCUUAAUUCUACUGGCAGAGCAUAACCGAACAGCCCGGAAGGUAAAAGAGCUAUUAUAAAAUUUUGAAGUAGAUAAGGGAGGAGCAAGAAUAUGAGUCUGAGAACAUCUGAUAGAAGAGAGAUACUUGAAACGCUCUUUGAGAUAAGGUGGUGUAGCGGGGUUAAAGAGAAUGCCAUAAAGGAGGGCAAGAACAUGAGAGUCACGGCGAAGA